UCGAGAAUUUUUCUCAAUGGGGGAAACCCUGAAGGAGCGACGCCGCGUGGAGGAUGAAGGUCUUCGGAUUGUAAACUCCUGUCAUUAGGGAACAAAGCCUGCGGUUAACUGCCGUUGGGACUGAUAGUACCUGAAGAGGAAGAGACGGCUAACUCUGUGCCAGCAGCCGCGGUAAUACAGAGGUCUCAAGCGUUGUUCGGAUUUAUUGGGCGUAAAGGGUGCGUAGGCGGCGGAGUAAGUCAGGUGUGAAAUCCCGGGGCUCAACCUCGGAACUGCACUUGAUACUGCUUUGCUUGAGAACUGGAGAGGAGACUGGAAUUUACGGUGUAGCAGUGAAAUGCGUAGAUAUCGUAAGGAAGGCCAGUGGCGAAGGCGAGUCUCUGGAAAGUAUCUGACGCUGAGGCACGAAGGCCAGGGGAGCAAACGGG
rnacentral:rRNA from 1 species